rnacentral:rRNA from 1 species
ACCCUUAGAGGAAGCCCUGGCUAACUACGUGCCAGCAGCCGCGGUAAUACGUAGGGGGCAAGCGUUGUCCGGAUUUACUGGGCGUAAAGGGCUUGUAGGCGGUUUUUUAAGUCAGGUGUGAAAGUUCGGGGCUCAACCCCGGAAUUGCAUUUGAAACUGGAGAACUUGAGUACUGGAGAGGUAAGUGGAAUUCCUAGUGUAGCGGUGAAAUGCGUAGAUAUUANGAGGAACACCAGUGGCGAANGCGGCUUUCUGGACUGUAAUUGACGCUGANGCGCGAANGCGUGGGGAGCGAACAGGAUUAGAUACNCNGNNAGUCCACGCUGNNAACGAUGAAUACNANGUGUC